GACGAACGCUGGCGGCGUGCUUAACACAUGCGAGUCGAACGGAAAGGCCCUGCUUUUGUGGGGUGCUCGAGUGGCGAACGGGUGAGUAACACGUGAGUAACCUGCCCUUGACUUUGGGAUAACUUCAGGAAACUGGGGCUAAUACCGGAUAGGAGCUCCUGCUGCAUGGUGGGGGUUGGAAAGUUUCGGCGGUUGGGGAUGGACUCGCGGCUUAUCAGCUUGUUGGUGGGGUAGUGGCUUACCAAGGCUUUGACGGGUAGCCGGCCUGAGAGGGUGACCGGCCACAUUGGGACUGAGAUACGGCCCAGACCCCUACGGGAGGCAGCAGUGGGGAAUAUUGCACAAUGGGCGGAAGCCUGAUGCAGCAACGCCGCGUGCGGGAUGACGGCCUUCGGGUUGUAAACCGCUUUCGCCUGUGGCGAAGCGUGAGUGACGGUAAUGGGUAAAGAAGCACCGGCUAACUACGUG
rnacentral:rRNA from 1 species